rnacentral:sRNA from 1 species
ACAAAACAGACCGGUAAA